UGGGGAAUAUUGGACAAUGGGCGCAAGCCUGAUCCAGCCAUGCCGCGUGAGUGAUGAAGGCCUUAGGGUUGUAAAGCUCUUUCACCGGGGACGAUGAUGACGGUACCCGGAGAAGAAGCCCCGGCUAACUUCGUGCCAGCAGCCGCGGUAAUACGAAGGGGGCAAGCGUUGUUCGGAAUUACUGGGCGUAAAGGGCGCGUAGGCGGCCGCUCAAGUCAGGUGUGAAAUCCCCGGGCUCAACCUGGGAACUGCACUUGAAACUGUGUGGCUUGAAUCCGUGAGAGGUUGGUGGAAUUCCCAGUGUAGAGGUGAAAUUCGUAGAUAUUGGGAAGACACCGGUGGCGAAGGCGGCCAACUGGCACGGUAUUGACGCUGAGGCGCGAAAGCGUGGGGAGCAAACAGGAUUAGAUACCCUGGUAGUCCACGCCGUAAACGAUGUGCGCUAGCCGUCGGGCAGCAUGCUGUUCGGUGGCGCAGCUAACGCAUUAAGCG
rnacentral:rRNA from 1 species